UGGGGAAUAUUGGACAAUGGGCGCAAGCCUGAUCCAGCCAUGCCGCGUGGGUGAAGAAGGCCUUCGGGUUGUAAAGCCCUUUUGUUGGGAAAGAAAAGCAGUCGGUUAAUACCCGAUUGUUCUGACGGUACCCAAAGAAUAAGCACCGGCUAACUUCGUGCCAGCAGCCGCGGUAAUACGAAGGGCGCAAGCGUUACUCGGAAUUACUGGGCGUAAAGCGUGCGUAGGUGGUUUGUUAAGUCUGAUGUGAAAGCCCUGGGCUCAACCUGGGAAUUGCAUUGGAUACUGGCAGGCUGGAGUGCGGUAGAGGGUAGUGGAAUUCCCGGUGUAGCAGUGAAAUGCGUAGAGAUCGGGAGGAACAUCCGUGGCGAAGGCGACUACCUGGACCAGCACUGACACUGAGGCACGAAAGCGUGGGGAGCAAACAGGAUUAGAUACCCUGGUAGUCCACGCCCUAAACGAUGCGAACUGGAUGUUGGGUUCAAUUAGGAACUCAGUAUCGAAGCUAACGCGCUAAGUUCGCCGCCUGGGGAGUACGGUCGCAAGACUGAAACUCAAAUGAAUUGACGGGGGUCAUAGCUGUUUCC
rnacentral:rRNA from 1 species